CUCAAAUAUCAACCUUCCUCCUAGAACUACCUGGGUUGAAUCCUCACAGAGCUGCAGAACACCCUCACCUUUGCAGUCGUGCCAUCCUGCACACAGUCUGAACCUCCUGCAUGACUUGUCCUUGUAUGGUGCUGUGUCUUCAGCAUGGCACAGCUCCAGCUCUUCACCAGGCACACAGCCUCAUAAUGCAUACACAUUCAAGUAUACACAAAUAACUGGAACUGUAAAUAUGACUCCACAUUGUCUCUCUCUCUCUCUCUGUCUCUCUCUCAAUGUGGCGUGAUGCCAGCUAAUAUCUCGCUGAAAGACCAGGCGGCAGCAACUGCUGCGCUCUGAUGCUACAAACACUGUUUACCUCAGCCUGCCAGAUGGAACAGCUAUCAUGCUUUUAAGAUCAAGGAAGCAGAAAAUAAAGGCAGAACGAGGCGAGAGACGUGAGCUGGCAGCUUGGAGCUCGGGCACAGGAGGAUGACAUCUCUGCUUUCAAUGUCACUUUCAAAGCUCUGAUUGGCUCAGACUAUGGGAAACAGCUGUCAGUGAACAACAGAGCCAUUUGAAAAAAUCAGAGAUGUGGGAAACGAUUCAGAAAUCUGCAACCAGACCUGAAGUGGCAGAUGAUGCAGGAGUGGUGCCUGCUGUAACCCACUGCAGCAUCCUUCCAUUAUCACGGCCCUGACACCUUAUGAUUACUGACAGCGCAAUGUCCUGCAGGUGUGUGGAUGAAGACGAUAGAUGUUACUGAAGGUCUUGGGAGUAUUUUCCAAACUGGGGAAGGAGGU